AAUUUACAUGUACAACUAUUGAGAUUCUUAUUAGAAACCACGCCGAAGUACGUCUUUUAUUAAUUUUUAUCAAAAUUUGAUAAUGAAUAAUUUCUAAUGAAUAAUGCAGAAGAAACGAGAAACACUCUUGGAUAUAAAAAAGAAGAUGUUGUAUGAUUGCCAAUGAGACACCUCUCCACAAGAGACCAAAAUGACACAGAAAUCAACAACUAUAGGUCACCG
rnacentral:lncRNA from 1 species